rnacentral:rRNA from 1 species
AUUGAACGCUGGCGGCAGGCCUAACACAUGCAAGUCGAGCGCGCGGCGGACGGGUGAGUAAUGUCUGGGAAACUGCCUGAUGGCGGGGGAUCACUACUGGAAACGGUAGCUACUACCGCAUACCAUCAGAUGUGCCCAGAUGGGAUGGGCUAGUAGGUGGGGUACCGGCUCACCUAGGCGACGAUCCCUAGCUGGUCUGUGAGGAUGACCAGCCACACUGGAACUGAGACACGGUCCAGAGGCUUACGGGAGGAAGCAGUGGGGAAUAUGGCACAAUGGGCGCAAGCCGGAUGCAGCCAUGCCGCGUGUGUGAAGACGGCCUUCGGGUUGUAAAGCACUUUCAGCGGGGAGGCGUUACCCGCAGAAGAAGCACCGGCUAACUCCGUGCCAGCAGCCGCGGUAAUUC